AGUCGAGAAUAUUGGACAAUGGGGGAAACCCUGAUCCAGCGACGCCGCGUGCUCGAAGAAGCCCUUCGGGGUGUAAAGAGCUUUUCUGGGGGAAGAAGUUUCGAUUGACAGUACUCCAGGAAUAAGGGGGUGCUAAUCACGUGCCAGCAGCCGCGGUAAUACGUGACCCCCGAGCGUUAUCCGGAUUUAUUGGGCGUAAAGCGUCUGUAGACGAUUUGGAAAGUCUUUGGUUAAAUACCAAGAGCUUAACUUUUGGGCUGCCAGAGAUACUUCCAGAAUAGAGGGCGUUAGAGGCUGAUGGAACGGUCGGUGUAGAGGUGAAAUUCGUUGAUAUCGACCGGAACACCGAAAGCGAAGGCAUUCAGCUGGGGCGACCCUGACGUUGAGAGACGAAAGCGUGGGGAGCAAAAAGGAUUAGAUACCCUUGUAGUCCACGCUGUAAACGAUGGACACUGGCUAUUUGAAGUGUCGACCCUUCAAGUGGCGAAGCUAACGCGUUAAGUGUCCCGCCUGGGAAGUACGGCGGCAACGCUAAAACUCAAAGGAAUAGACGGGGCUUCACACAAGCGGUGGACCAUGUGGCUUAAUUCGACAACAAGCGAAGAACCUUACCAGGGCUUGACAGGCUAGUGAAAAUCUUCCGAAAAGAAGAUCUACCCACAAGGACACUAGCCCAGGUGCUGCAUGGUUGUCGUCAGCAUGUGUUUUGAAAUGCACGCUUAAAUGCGGUAACAUGCGCAACCCUUACCCUAUGUUUUAUUUGUCAUAGGGAACUGCCUGGGAUGACCAGGAGGAAGGUGAGGAUGACGCCAAAUCAGCAUGGCCCUUUGAUGCCCUGGGCUGCACACGUGGUACAAUGGGGCUGACAAUGGGUUGCCAAGGCGCAAGCCGGAGCUAAUCCCAUCAAACAGCCUCUUAGUUCGGAUUGAGGUCUGCAACUCGACCUCAUGAAGCCGGAAUCGCUAGUAAUCGCCAAUCAGCCACGUGGCGAUGAAUAUGUUCCUGAAGCUUGUACUCACCGCCCGUCACAUUAAGGGAGCCGGCAGUAGCCGAAGUUCCGAGCAAUCGGACCUAAGCUAAGGUCGGUAACAAGAAUG
rnacentral:rRNA from 1 species